AGCGCAGGCGGGAAGACAAGUUGGAAGUGAAAUCUAUGGGCUCAACCCAUAAACUGCUUUCAAAACUGUUUUUCUUGAGUAGUGCAGAGGUAGGCGGAAUUCCCGGUGUAGCGGUGGAAUGCGUAGAUAUCGGGAGGAACACCAGUGGCGAAGGCGGCCUACUGGACACCAACUGACGCUGAGGCUCGAAAGUGUGGGUAGCAAACA
rnacentral:rRNA from 1 species